GUCAAACUUCUGCAAGGACGAAACUUAAAAGUAGAUACACCAUAAAAUAUUACUAAUAACGGUGAAAUGUAUUCAGAAUAUUUCCUUAAUUUAUGGAUUAAAUAUUAAAUAUUGAUAUCAAACAAGGAUUAGAUACCCUUUUAUGCAAUGUGCACUUAAACCUACUGGGGAUUAAAACUAUCAAGUUAAAACUCAAGCAAUAUGGCGGUAAUUUUAUUUUUAGGGGAACUUACCUAAUAAAUGAUAACCACCAAGGUAUCCAACUUUAAGAAAUUCUUGUAUGCCGUCGUCGGCAGGUAAAACAUAAUGUAUUAUCAAUAUAAUUAUGUUAAAAAGACAGAUCAAGGUGCAGACAAUCUUAAAGCUAAGGCGAGUUACAAUUUAUAGUAACUGAUAUAGAUAUGUAAUAUCUAUUAAUGAAGGACUUAAUAGUAAUUUAUAAUAAUAAUCUUUAAUGAAUACAUUARAAUUGCGUACAA
rnacentral:rRNA from 1 species